rnacentral:rRNA from 1 species
CCCUUAGAUGUUCUGGGCCGCACGCGUGCUACACUGAGUGGAUCAGCGGGUCAGGUUGCGCGAAAGUGUUUCCUAAUCUUUAAAUCCGCUCGUGAUGGGGAUUGACGGUUGCAAUUUUCUGUCAUGAACGAGGAAUACCUUGUAAGCGCGGGUCAUCAUCCCGCGCUGAAUACGUCCCUGCCCUUUGUACACACCGCCCGUCGCUCCUACCGAUUGAGUGGUCCGGUGAGGCUUUGGGAUCUGAGCAAAGAGAGCGUUUCGCUCGUUUUGCCCGGAAAACUCAGUCGAACCUUAUCAUUUAGAGGAAGGAGAAGUCGUAACA